rnacentral:rRNA from 1 species
GCUCACGGCCAUAUCAGCCUGGGUACGCCCGAUCUCGUCUGAUCUCGUAAGCUAAGCAGGUUCGGGCCUGGUUAGUACUUGGAUGGGAGACCGCCUGGGAAUACCAGGUGCUGUAAGCA